rnacentral:lncRNA from 1 species
GAUUUUAUAGGGCUUAACUUUUAGUUAACAAAUGAUUUGGUCAAAAUUUUAGGACUAGAAUUGUGAAUUACACUGGAAGAUCUCCCCAAAAAAGAAAAGGAAAGGAAAACGGUCUCAUACAAAACUACGGGAAUUCAAAUAUGCUAAAGGUUACAUAAUUGAUACCUCAAUUCAAGCCAGCUUAUAGAAUAAAUCUAGUAAAUGAUUUAUGUUUCACUUGAAUUGUUUAACGCAAUAACGUGUAAAAAUCACAGUUUUCUAGUAAUGGAGUCGUAUGACAACUCAAUUAGUAGCCCUCAAGCAAGUCAAAAGGCAUGUUUAAAUCAAACUUCAGCAGAUGAUUUUCUAACUAUCUCGAGGACCCCAAUUUCAAAAGACUUUUCUUUUACCAAAGACUUUUCAUAUCCACAUCAACCAAAGAAAAAAAAGAACCGCACCCAAUUUCUAUUCUAGUAGAUAUGCCAUGCCAUACAACCAAAGUAUCCAUUCCUUAAUUUGGAAACGCUGGUCCGGCAUGGGGUGGUAGAUAAAAUACACUUGCAAAAUUUUUACCUUGCUUCAUCUUGUUCUCAGGUGAUGGGAAAUCAAUUGAGUUAACAUUAGGAUAGUGAGGAAUUGCCUGGAAGGCUGGCGGAAAGGCCUGUGUACGAGGAGCCCCUCGUGUUAGAAGCACCAACUGCAAAUUCACAAGUACCUAAUUUCUCCAAAAAGAAUUUUUCUAGCUGAAACAAUUCAAAUCAAUGCAUGACAAAAAAUGUUAGAUUGGCAAAAACAAAGACAAAUACAACCUCAUCAGAGAGCUUUUUCAUGUAAAGGAUCAUCAAAACUCCAAACCCACAAGUACCUAAUUUCUCCAAAAAGAAUUUUUCUAGCUGAAACAAUUCAAAUCAAUGCAUGACAAAAAUGUUAGAUUGGCAAAAACAAAGACAAGUACAACCUCAUCAAAGAGCUUUUUCAUGUAAAGGCCUCGUUUGUUUCUCUGUAGUACUACAUAGUAUGUGAAAAGUUGCGUACAUCCCAUUACUAAUAAAAAUGGCCCUUCUGACUGAAGUGAUGAAGGUGCAAAUUCCAUGGGGCCAACACCCAACAAAAAAAGACAUAAAAAAAAAACCCAAUACCUUCAUCAUGAGAGAGAGAGCCUUUCUACCUUCCACACCAAUCUUUUCUUCUACAUUUUUUCUCUUUCUUGAUUAGCAGAAUCAACAUCAUUAUGCAGAAGAGACUAUGCUCUGCUAAGUGUAAACAUAACUUUCUUUCCACAACCACAGCAUUCAAAUAUUGAUACACAUACUUUACAACAAAUAUAUAUAUAUAGGGAGCCCUUCCAUAGCAACCGGUUGCUAUGAGAACUGUGCAACAACCCUUUUUUGUACCGUUGAUAAACUUAUUGGAAGGCUGAGAUUGAAACAUAAAUAUACCCAGCCGGCACAACUUGUACCGGCUUUUAUUUUAAUAUGAGGACCCCACCAUAGUCAACAUGUUGUCAGUUUAUUGAAAUAAAAUGAAUUUUUAAUAUUAAAUAAUGCCCGACCGGCACAGCUUGUACCGGCUGUGCCUUUUUUAUAAAAUACUUCNNN